rnacentral:piRNA from 1 species
GCAAGAACUCGCAGGGCCAUGCCAGAUU